ACGUUAAGUAGGAUAAUCCUUACUGGUCUUUUUUCAUAGAAGGCAGAUUAAAACGUGAUGAUUAGAGUUCCUAUGAUAGGUGGUUAACAUCUCUGCAUAAUCAAGACUUGUAACACCCUGAUUGCUCCUAUCUUAU